rnacentral:tRNA from 1 species
UGGCCCGUAGUUCAAUUGGCAGAACGCCUGACUCUGGAUCAGGAGGUUGGAGGUUCGAGUUCUCCCAACCA